rnacentral:misc_RNA from 1 species
AGUCGUAACAAGGUAUCCGUAGGUGAACCUGCGGAUGGAUCAUUAUCAAAAGGACUACCCUUUAACGUACUGUGAACUGUAUUGACUACCGUCAGUCAGUGAGAUGGUGGGCACAUGUCGGAUUGAUUACAUCUUGUAGUUUCAUUACUUAAGAUGUGACUGACUGACUUUGUGCUAUAACCACUUAUUGACUGACAUCAUACCAAGACGUAUCUUUCAAACUGAAGUAUCUUUACUUAUAAAACGUAAAGACAACUUUUAGCAAUGGAUCUCUUGGCUCUC